rnacentral:rRNA from 1 species
UUCUCUUCUAAUUUUCUCUUAUGUUGUUGCAGUUAAAAAGCUCGUAGUCUUUGUUAGCUAUGCGUGUCACUUUGAGAAAAUCAGAGUGUUCAUACCAGGGUUACUGUUGUAUGCCACAGCAAAGAAUGACAUUAUUCUACAGCAAUGUAGAUUAUCAUAUGGAUGGAGGGGACCACUAGUAUUUGAUGGGGACAGGUGAAAUAGGAUGAUCCAUCAAGGACUCUCGGCAGCGAAGGCUGUUGGUAACUUCAUUCCAG